rnacentral:rRNA from 1 species
UACGUAGGGUGCGAGCGUUGUCCGGAAUUAUUGGGCGUAAAGGGCUCGUAGGCGGUUUGUCGCGUCGGGAGUGAAAUCCACUGGCUUAACUGGUGGCUUGCUUUCGAUACGGGCAGACUGGAGGUAUGCAGGGGAGAACGGAAUUCCUGGUGUAGCGGUGAAAUGCGCAGAUAUUAGGAAGAACACCAGUGGCGAAGGCGGCUCACUGGAUCGGUACUGACGCUGAGGUGCGAAAGCGUGGGGAGCAAACAGG